GGUUGCGAUGAAAAGUGAUGAUGAACGGUUUUAAAUUUGAAUUUGCGUGUUACCUGUUCUAACAAAAGUGGUGUCGUGUUUCGCUCCCGCGGUUGUGCAUUAAACAUAUUUCAAGAGGUGUGCUAUAUAGUAUUACAUGAGGAUUUACCCGUAAUUGAAAGUUCGAGGGUUGUGUUGUAAUUACAGAAUAGGCGCUUGUUAUAGAACGUGGUUAACAGAGCCACAACUACUUGGUGGUCUCUGAAACAAUGGUAGAAACGGAACUGUCUUGUGAAAUUACGCGAAGCCAGCAUGAAGAAAUCAAAGUUGCACGCGAAAACGCAUUCGUACGCGUAUCUCGAUAAACCCAGAGCAAAAGUAAGUUAGAUGUUCACGUAGUGCUCGAAUUUUGUUUUGUUAAGCAUUAUGUUGUGCAUCUUCAUUCAUGCAACGUCAUCUCUUUUCAUUAGCAAAUGUGCUUACAUGUGAUAUGUUUCAAUUAAAAUAAGUCACGUGAAUGGGGGGUAGAUAGGUGUAGGUGUAUAAAG
rnacentral:lncRNA from 1 species